rnacentral:rRNA from 1 species
GAUGAACGCUGGCGGCGUGCCUAAUACAUGCAAGUCGAGCGAACGGACGAGAAGCUUGUUUUUCUGAGGUUAGCGGCGGACGGGUGAGUAACGCGUGGAUAACCUACCUAUAAGACUGGGAUAACUUCGGGAAACCGGUGCUAAUACCGGAUAAUAUUUUGAACCGCAUGGUUCAAGAGUGAAAGACGCUCUUGCCGCCACUAAUAGAUGGAUCCCGGCUUCUUUGGUUAGUUGGUAAGGAAAGGCCUCACCAAGGCAACGAUCAUUAGCCGACCGGAGAGGGUGUCCGGCCACACUGGAACUGAACAACGGUCCAGACUCCUACGGGAGGCAGCAGUAGGGAAUCUUGGCAAAUGGGCGAAAGCCUGACGGAGAAACGCCGCGUGAGUGAUGAAGGUCUUCGGAUCGUAAAACUCUGUUGUUGGGGAAGAAGAUAUGUGGAAGUGACUGUGCACAUCUUGACGGUAACUAAUCAGAAAGCCACGGCUAACUACGUG